AUAAUUUAAAAAGACGAGAAGACCCUAUAGAGUUUUAUAGUUAAAGUAAUUAAUAUUAUUUGUUAAAUUAAAGUUGAAAUUAUUUUAUUUAUUAUAUUGGGGUGAUAAAAAAAUAUAUAUAACUUUUUUUUAAAUAAAAACAUUUAUAAGUGAUUAAUUGAUCCAAUAUUAUUGAUUAUAAGAAAAAAUUACCUUAGGGAUAACAGCGUAAUUUUUUUUUUUAGUUCAUAUAAUAAAAAGAGUUUGCGACCUCGAUGUUGGAUUAAGAUAAAAUUUAAAUGCAGAAG
rnacentral:rRNA from 1 species